UACGUAGGUGGCAAGCGUUGUCCGGAUUUACUGGGUGUAAAGGGCGUGUAGGCGGGGAUGCAAGUCAGAUGUGAAAUUCCGAAGCUCAACUUCGGCGCUGCAUCUGAAACUGUAUCUCUUGAGUGCUGGAGAGGAAAGCGGAAUUCCUAGUGUAGCGGUGAAAUGCGUAGAUAUUAGGAGGAACACCAGUGGCGAAGGCGGCUUUCUGGACAGUAACUGACGCUGAGGCGCGAAAGCGUGGGGAGCGAACAGG
rnacentral:rRNA from 1 species